GCGAGUGUGGUAUAGUGGUUUGAGUAUCGGACCCCGAUUCUGGAGAUCAGGGUUCAAUUCCCUGCUUGGCCA